rnacentral:rRNA from 1 species
CCUACGGGAGGCUGCAGUGGGGAAUAUUGGGCAAUGGGCGCAAGCCUGACCCAGUAACGCCGCGUGAAGGAAGAAGGCUUUCGGGUUGUAAACUUCUUUUGUCAGGGACGAAGCAAGUGACGGUACCUGACGAAUAAGCCACGGCUAACUACGUGCCAGCAGCCGCGGUAAUACGUAGGUGGCAAGCGUUAUCCGGAUUUACUGGGUGUAAAGGGCGUGUAGGCGGGGAAGCAAGUCAGAUGUGAAAACCACGGGCUCAACCUGUGGCCUGCAUUUGAAACUGUGUUUCGUGAGUACUGGAGAGGCAGACGGAAUGCCUAGUGGAGCGGUGAAAUGCGUAGAUAUUAGGAGGAACACCAGUGGCGAAGGCGGUCUGCUGGACAGCAACUGACGCUGAGGCGCGAAAGCGUGGGGAGCAAACAGGAUUAGAUACCCGAGUAGUC